GUCGGGGAGGAUAAACACCGCCCAAUGCCUCCCCCGAUGAAGCCGGGCCGACGUUCGACUCUUCAUCGCGAGCAGAGAUGAUCUGCAGGAUCCUGGUGAUCUUCAUCCCGACCUCCUGUGUCUGUGCAGGGUCAUUUGUAGUGAAUGUGACACAGAGCUGGUAUCAGGCAGAGGAGAACCAGAACAUCUCACUGGAAUGGACGUUCCCCACCAGCACGGACCCCUCCCCCAACUCCCUUUAUAUCUCCUGCAAG